GUACUAGCGACGGCGGUACAUAUUCUAAAAUUGGAACGGCACAGAGAAGAUUAGUAUAGUCCUUGAGCAAGGAUGACAUACAAAUUCGUGAAGCAUUUCAUAUUUUU